AAGAGACGUUGCCCUUCGGGGUAUACCUCCCACCCUUUGUUUAUUAUACCUUUGUUGCUUUGGCGGGCUCGUCCUCGGACCGCCGGCUUCUGCUGGUCAGUGCCCGCCAGAGGACCUAAAACUCUGUUUGUUAAUAUUGUCUGAGUACUAUAUAAUAGUUA
rnacentral:misc_RNA from 1 species